CCAAAGACCGAAGUACAUGAUUCCAUGCUUCCAAGAAAAGCAUCUAGAGAGAGAAGUAGUGCCCGUACCGCAAACCGACACAGGCAGAUGAGGAGAGAAUCCUAAGGCCGGCGGAAGAAUUGCAGUUAAGGAACUAGGCAAAUUGACCCCGUAAGUUCGCGAGAAGGGGUGCCUGCGAGAGCAGGCCGCAGAGAAUAGGCCCAAGCAACUGUUUAGCAAAAACACAGGUCUCUGCUAAAGCGUAAGCUGAUGUAUAGGGGCUGACGCCUGCCCGGUGCUGGAAGGUUAAGGGGAACACUUAGCGCAAGCGAAGGUGUGAACUUAAGCCCCAGUAAACGGCGGCCGUAACGAUAACGGUCCUAAGGUAGCGAAAUUCCUUGUCAGGUAAGUUCUGACCCGCACGAAUGGCGUAAUGACUUGGGCACUGUCUCAACUGCAAAUCCGGCGAAGUUGUAGUGCGAGUGAAGAUGCUCGCUACCCGCGAUUGGACGGAAAGACCCCGUAGAGCUUUACUGUAGCUUAGCAUUGAAUUCCGGUAUUGUCUGUACAGGAUAGGUGGGAGACUGGGAAACUAGGGCGUCAGCCUUAGUGGAGUCAACCUUGGGAUACCACCCUGACAGUACUGGGGUUCUAACAGGACGCCAUGAAGCUGGUGACUGGACAUUGUUAGGUGGGCAGUUUGACUGGGGCGGUCGCCUCCUAAAAAGUAACGGGGGCGCCCAAAGGUUCCCUCAGAACGGUCGGAAAUCGUUCGUAGAGUGCAAAGGCAGAAGGGAGCCUGACUGCGAGACCCACAAGUCGAGCAGGGACGAAAGUCGGGCUUAGUGAUCCGGUGGUACCUCGUGGGAGGGCCAUCGCUCAACGGAUAAAAGCUACCUCGGGGAUAACAGGCUGAUCUCCCCCAAGAGUCCACAUCGACGGGGAGGUUUGGCACCUCGAUGUCGGCUCGUCGCAUCCUGGGGCUGUAGUAGGUCCCAAGGGUUGGGCUGUUCGCCCAUUAAAGCGGCACGCGAGCUGGGUUCAGAACGUCGUGAGACAGUUCGGUCCCUAUCCGUCGCGGGCGUAGGAAAUUUGAGAGGAGCUGUCCUUAGUACGAGAGGACCGGGAUGGACUGACCUCUGGUGCACCAGUUGUUCUGCCAAGAGCAUGGCUGGGUAGCUAAGUCGGGAAGGGAUAAACGCUGAAAGCAUCUAAGCGUGAAGCCCCCCUCAAGAUGAGAUUUCCCAUAGCAUAAGCUAGUAAGACCCCUUGAAGAACACAAGGUUGAUAGGUCAGAGGUGGAAGUGCGGUAACGUAUGUAGCUGACUGAUACUAAUAGGUCGAGGGCUUGACC
rnacentral:rRNA from 1 species